GAAGGCCUUUCGGGUUGUAAAGCACUUUCCGUUCGUGAGGAAGGUGGUGUAGUUAAUAGCUGCAUUAUUUGACGUUAGCGACAGAAGAAGCACCGGCUAAUUCCGUGCCAGCAGCCGCGGUAAUACGGAGGGUGCGAGCGUUAAUCGGAAUUACUGGGCGUAAAGCGCAUGCAGGUGGUUUGUUAAGUCAGAUGUGAAAGCCCGGGGCUCAACCUCGGAAUAGCAUUUGAAACUGGCAGACUAGAGUACUGUAGAGGGGGGUAGAAUUUCAGGUGUAGCGGUGAAAUGCGUAGAGAUCUGAAGGAAUACCGGUGGCGAAGGCGGCCCCCUGGACAGAUACUGACACUCAGAUGCGAAAGCGUGGGGAGCAAACAGGAUUAGAUACCCUGGUAGUCCACGCCGUAAACGAUGUCUACUUGGAGGUUGUGGCCUUGAGCCGUGGCUUUCGGAGCUAACGCGUUAAGUAGACCGCCUGGGGAGUACGGUCGCAAGAUUAAAACUCAAAUGAAUUGACGGGGGCCCGCACAAGCGGUGGAGCAUGUGGUUUAAUUCGAUGCAACGCGAAGAACCUUACCUACUCUUGACAUCCAGAGAACUUUCCAGAGAUGGAUUGGUGCCUUCGGGAACUCUGAGACAGGUGCUGCAUGGCUGUCGUCAGCUCGUGUUGUGAAAUGUUUGGGUUAAGUCCCGCAACGAGCGCAACCCUUAUCCUUGUUUGCCACCGAGUAAAGGUCGGGGAACUCCCC
rnacentral:rRNA from 1 species